AGAGUUUGAUCCUGGCUCAGAACGAACGCUGGCGGCGUGGAUAAGACAUGCAAGUCAAGCGGGAUUUCUUUUGGUAGCAAUACCGAGAGAAAUUCAGCGGCGAACGGGUGCGUAACACGUGGGCAAUUUGCCUUAAAGUGUGGGAUAGCUCGGCGAAAGCCGAAUUAAUACCGCAUGUGGCUACUGGAGACAUCUUCGGGACGCUAAAGGUGGCGCAAGCUACCGCUUUUUGAGAAGCCCGCGGCCUAUCAGCUUGUUGGUGAGGUAACGGCUCACCAAGGCUAUGACGGGUAGCUGGUCUGAGAGGACGACCAGCCACACUGGGACUGAGACACGGCCCAGACACCUACGGGUGGCAGCAGUCGAGAAUUUUUGACAAUGGGGGAAACCCUGAUCGAGCGACGCCGCGUGGAGGAUGAAGGUCUUCGGGUUGUAAACUCCUGUCAUUUGGGAACAAGGCGCGUGUAUUAACUGUGCACGCGUUGAUAGUACCAGAAGAGGAAGAGACGGCUAACUCUGUGCCAGCAGCCGCGGUAAUACAGAGGUCUCAAGCGUUGUUCGGAUUCAUUGGGCGUAAAGGGUGUGUAGGUGGCGCGCUAAGUCGGGUGUGAAAUUUCGGAGCUUAACUCCGAAACUGCAUUCGAUACUGGCGUGCUUGAGGACUGGAGAGGAGACUGGAAUUUACGGUGUAGCAGUGAAAUGCGUAGAUAUCGUAAGGAAGACCAGUGGCGAAGGCGGGUCUCUGGACAGUUCCUGACACUGAGACACGAAGGCCAGGGGAGCAAACGGGAUUAGAUACCCCAGUAGUCC
rnacentral:rRNA from 1 species